AUCAGAAUCACCUCAAGCCUGGAGAACGCUCAUGAGUUUGAUCAGCAGGUCAGGUGGGGCCUGAGAACGUCAAUGUCCAGCAGGUUCCCCGGCGAUGCUGGUGACGCUGCUGCCUGAGAGCCACCCUGAGGCCUCUGUGUGUGGAGAGAGCUGAGGCAGAUGGUCCCAGUGCCGAGGAUGCGGCUGCAUUUGGAGACCAUGCUGAGCUGCUCAGCUGAGUGAACAGUGCUCUGAAGAAGCCGUCACAGCUCGGCAGCCUCAGCAGAGGGUGGGAAGAGAUAACUCUGGAUGCUCACUCAGCACAUCGUGUGGUGGGACUAACUCAGCUGUGAGCACUGAAGUUCACAGCAGCCCCAGGGAGGACUCAGUUCACACUCGGCAGCAGCAGAAGGCAGAAUCCCCACAAGACGUGAAAGAACCG
rnacentral:lncRNA from 1 species